rnacentral:rRNA from 1 species
AUUGAACGCUGGCGGCAGGCCUAACACAUGCAAGUCGAACGAGUGGCGGACGGGUGAGUAAUGCUUGGGAAUCUACCUUAUGGAGGGGGAUAACUACGGGAAACUGUAGCUAAUACCGCAUACCAUCAGAUGUGCCCAGAUGGGAUUAGGUAGUUGGUGGUGUAACGGCUCACCAAGGCGACGAUCUCUAGCUGGUCUGAGAGGAUGACCAGCCACACUGGGACUGAGACACGGCCCAGACUCCUACGGGAGGCAGCAGUGGGGAAUAUGGCGCAAUGGGGGCAACCAUGACGCAGCCAUGCCGCGUGAAUGAAGAAGGCCUUCGGGUUGUAAAGUUCUUUCGGUAGGGAGGCGUUACCUACAGAAGAAGCACCGGCUAACUCCGUGCCAGCAGCCGCGGUAAUAC